rnacentral:rRNA from 1 species
AUUGAACGCUGGCGGCAGGCUUAACGCAUGCAAGUCGAGCGGGGUGAUGGUGCUUGCACUAUCACUUAGCGGCGGACGGGUGAGUAAUGCUUAGGAAUCUGCCUAUUAGUGGGGGACAACAUCUCGAAAGGGAUGCUAAUACCGCAUACGUCCUACGGGAGAAAGCAGGGGAUCACUUGUGACCUUGCGCUAAUAGAUGAGCCUAAGUCGGAUUAGCUAGUUGGUGGGGUAAAGGCCUACCAAGGCGACGAUCUGUAGCGGGUCUGAGAGGAUGAUCCGCCACACUGAGGCUGAGACACGGCCCAGACUCCUACGGGAGGCAGCAGUGGGGAAUAUUGGACAAUGGGGGGAACCCUGAUCCAGCCAUGCCGCGUGUGUGAAGAAGGCCUUAUGGUUGUAAAGCACUUUAAGCGAGGAGGAGGCUCUUUUGGUUAAUACCCAAGAUGAGUGGACGUUACUCGCGGAAUAAGCACCGGCUAACUCUGUGCCAGCCGCCGCGGUAA